UACGGAGGGUGCAAGCGUUAAUCGGAAUUACUGGGCGUAAAGCGUGCGCAGGCGGUUUGUUAAGUCUGCUGUGAAAUCCCCGAGCUCAACUUGGGAAUUGCAGUGGAUACUGGCAAGCUAGAGUAUGGUAGAGGAAGGUGGAAUUCCCGGUGUAGCAGUGAAAUGCGUAGAGUUCGGGAGGAACACCAGUGGCGAAGGCGGCCUUCUGGACCAAUACUGACGCUCAUGCACGAAAGCGUGGGGAGCAAACAGG
rnacentral:rRNA from 1 species